AACGAACGCUGGCGGCAUGCCUAACACAUGCAAGUCGAACGAAAACUUCGGGACUAGUGGCGCACGGGUGCGUAACGCGUGGGAACCUUCCCUUAGGGUCGGAAUAACUCUCCGACAGGGGUGCUAACACCGGAUAAUGUCUUCGGACCAAAGAUUUAUCGACUUUGGAUGGGCCGGCGUUGGAUUAGCUAGUUGGGAGGGUAAAAGCCUACGAGGGCGACGAUCCAUAACUGGUCUGAGAGGAUGAUCAGCAACACUGGGACUGAGACACGGCCCGGACUCCUACGGGAGGCGGCAAUGGGGGAUAUUGGACCACGGGCGAAAGGCUGAUCCAGCACUGCCGGGUGAGUGAUGAAGGCCGGAGGGUUGUAAAGCUCUUUUACCCGGGAUGGUAAUGACGGUACCGGGAGAAUAAGCUCCGGCUAACUCCGUG
rnacentral:rRNA from 1 species